rnacentral:rRNA from 1 species
UACAGAGGUCUCAAGCGUUGUUCGGAUUCAUUGGGCGUAAAGGGUGCGUAGGCGGCGCGGUAAGUCGGGUGUGAAAUCUUGGAGCUUAACUCCGAAACUGCAUUCGAUACUGCCGUGCUUGAGGACUGGAGAGGAGACUGGAAUUCCCGGUGUAGUGGUGAAAUGCGUAGAUAUCGGGAGGAACACCAGUGGCGAAGGCGACUACCUGGCCUGUUCUUGACGCUGAGGCGCGAAAGCUAGGGGAGCAAACGGG